AAUCCAUAUGUCUCAAAUUUCAGUCACCUAUUCGACAGAUUGAGUCCCGCCCAAACCCAACCCUAAAACUCCCCCAACCUUCGAUUUCGAGAUAUCAUAUAAAAGUGGUGAUGGCGGCCCAGCGUAAGAACCCGCAGAUUGAGAAUGUUGUGAUGAUGCUUCCCUCGGGCAUUCGCUGCACCGCUUGUAGCACUGUCGUGGCCAAAGGCACCAAGUUGAAUUCCCGCAAAGAAGAAGCCCUCGGCGAGGAGUUUUGGGAGGUUUGGAAGGAUCAUACAUUCAGAUUUUGCUUCAAUUGUACCCAAUACUCCGCUGAGAUCGUCAUAAGGACAGACCCACAAUAUUCACACCUUGCUGUUGAGGCUGGUGCUUCGAAAUUUUAUCGUUAUAUCCCUUGGCUUCCCCCUAUGGUUGAGGAGAAAGAGAAGUUGGUUCCUUACACCAAACUGGCAAGAGAAAAGAGAGGAGGUCUUAGUUAACAGGAUACAACAAAUUAUAGAUAAGCAUAUUCAGAUAAGGAAGAUUGAAGAAGUGGGAGAUGCCAUGAAACCUUUGGAUUUCAAAAGAGAGAUUUAGCAGUUUUCCGUCAAGGGCGAAAUGAAGUGUGGACUUUCCUAAACAAAAAUAUACACAAGUUGGUCCUGCAUUCCAUGCUUCCCUCCAAAAACGGAUUGCUAAUUUAGCUAGCUUUCAUUGUCAUUGGUUUAUUUGAUAUCCCUGUGUACAUUAACGUGUUUCUUAACUUAAAAGUUUUUGAGAUGUACGCAGGUUCAUGAAAUAUUUCGACUGUUGUGUUGAUAGGAUGGAGGGCGCUGCUAAGACAUAUGUGUACUUUUUUAGAUGUGUGGUUUAGUAAUGCAAUAUCUCCUACUCCUACAUUCCAUUGUUUAUGUUUGUUUAGGUAUUCCGAUUCAAACACCUUACAAUUGACUAAAAACUAAUGUAUAAUGAUUAAUGAUGUACUUACCAUUGAUCACUUCCCCCCCUCCCACACAUCAGUUCUACAAUUUGGAUAUCUCAUUGGUUCAUUCAUAUCUUAUAGUUGGUUACUUUGGUUUUCAAUACUUACGAUCUACUCUUGUAUACCCUUUGGUGCUUUAUGGCUCUUUCUAAUCUUGUUUGCUUAAGCUCUCUGCCUGCCUGGUGAUUAUUUUUCACAUAAAAUGAAAUCUUUGUCGUGCACCAACUGUGAUUACAUACAUGGGAUGAUGGAAUGGAAUGGAAAUGCAUGUCCGUAUUGGGCGAAUCCAUUAUAAAAGCUUUUGUCCUCGGUAUGCAGUAUGACAACCAGAUAUUGAAUAAACAAUUGGUCCCAAAGCUUAGAAGCAAGGUUCUUCUUCUUUUGCUUACUAUAUUAUUAAGGAUUUUAAAAUUUUAAAUUGACAAAUGAAAGUUUUACAUCCGUCGUGUAAAAAUGGCACCUCUCUAGGAAAAAACCUUUUGCUUGUUAUGUCCAUCUUUCACUAGGUUAUGUGGGAGCCAUUGUUUAUUUAUUUAUUUUAUCAAUCGGAGAGGGAGGAUUUGAAUUUGAGACAUCCUCCAACAUUGGGAAGAAACAUACCACUAUAUCAAGGGCUAGUUGGUAUGUGGUAGCCAACUUUUAUAGUGGAUUUCACUUGUGUUCUGAAUGCUCCCAAAACAGCUUAUUGUCUAUGUUCAAAUGAUGGUAAAGAACAUUGUCAAACCAGUUCACAUUUAAAUUUAAAGCUUUCAAAUUUUGACCAAUUACUUUAAUUUUCCAAAAAUUGACAGGAGAGUGCGAUCUUGGGAACUAUUCUGACAUAUUUUUAGCUUCGCAUACCUCUCUCUUGCUAGCUUAAACCCUCGUUUCUCUAAACAAUAAUAAAUAAAAAAUACAAGAUUAGGAUCUUCAGCUACUCUGCUUCUCUCAUUUCUCUAAACAACAACAAAAAAUAAAUCAGAAUUUUGCUUCCAAGCUUUCAAAUGAAACCUCUACAACAUUGUCAAAUAGUCUAGAUUAAAACUAUUGAGAUCACGGUAAAGAACUUGUCAAUUAGAAGGUUUCACUUUCCUCGUAACAUCUCUAAGUAGUUUGAAGCCUUUUAUGAUCCUAAAGCUAACUUUGUAGUUUGAAGCUCCCUAAUCAAAUAGAUCUGCCAAACAUGACAUAAUGAUCAAAGAGUUCAAAACAUAACCACCUGAAACUGCAGCAUUCCCAGCUGAAACUGCAGAACUGGCUGCAUCUUUUGUUUAAAUCUUGAGAAAGCCAGUUCCUUUUGGUCGCCUGCCACAACAUAAUAGCACAAUAAAGAUGUAGGAAUCAUCUGAAGAGGACUGGGAAAAAAGAUUGCACUUCCCCAAAGUCUCGAAAGAUGAUUUACUGGGCUCCUCAGAAGAUUAAAAAAUAGACAGCUCCUUGUCCGUUCGGAGCUGUGCGAGAUCAUCAUCAUGAGAAGUUCUGUGGCAUACGCGAUCAAGUUGUUUAGAACUUUUCUUGCAAUGUCUACUUCCUCUUCAAAAUUUAUUUCAGUGGGGAUGUCUUUCUUCUCUAUGGUAUUAGAGUCAUCAGGACUGCUGUCAAUUCCAACAUGGUGCUCGGACUUUUUACCGAAAUUCCCAGCAUCGCCCUCUAAAUCUUUACUGCUACUAUCAUUCACUUCCAUCCUUUUGUCCUGUAAAAAUCGGAGCUUUUGUAUCAUUUGAUGUAGAUACAAUCAUCAAUAACAGCAUUACA